rnacentral:rRNA from 1 species
AUUGAACGCUGGCGGCAUGCUUUACACAUGCAAGUCGAACGGCAGCGCGGGCUUCGGCCUGGCGGCGAGUGGCGAACGGGUGAGUAAUACAUCGGAACGUGCCCAGUAGUGGGGGAUAGCUCGUCGAAAGCCGGAUUAAUACCGCAUACGACCUGAGGGUGAAAGCGGGGGAUCUUCGGACCUCGCGCUAUUGGAGCGGCCGAUGGCAGAUUAGCUAGUUGGUGGGGUAAAGGCCUACCAAGGCGACGAUCUGUAGCUGGUCUGAGAGGACGACCAGCCACACUGGGACUGAGACACGGCCCAGACUCCUACGGGAGGCAGCAGUGGGGAAUUUUGGACAAUGGGCGAAAGCCUGAUCCAGCAAUGCCGCGUGGGUGAUGAAGGCCUUCGGGUUGUAAGGCACUUUUGGCGGGAACGAAAAGGACUGUGCCAAUACCACGGUUCGAUGACGGUACCCGCAGAAUAAGCACCGGCUAACUACGU